rnacentral:rRNA from 1 species
CAGGAUGAACGCUAGCGGCAGGCUUAACACAUGCAAGUCGAGGGGCAGCGGGAUGUAGCAAUACAUUGCCGGCGACCGGCGGAUGGGUGCGUAACGCGUAUGCAACCUACCUUAUACAGGGGAAUAACCUUUCGAAAGGGAGACUAACACCCCAUAGCAUUGAUUUAAGGCAUCUUAGAUUAAUUAAAUAUUUAUAGGUAUAAGAUGGGCAUGCGUAUGAUUAGCUAGUUGGUAAGGUAACGGCUUACCAAGGCGACGAUCAUUAGGGGUUCUGAGAGGAAGGUCCCCCACACUGGUACUGAGACACGGACCAGACUCCUACGGGAGGCAGCAGUGAGGAAUAUUGGUCAAUGGGCGCAAGCCUGAACCAGCCAUGCCGCGUGCAAGGAAGACGGCCUUAUGGGUUGUAAACUGCUUUUACAUAAGACUAACCGUAUAUUUGCGAAUAUACCUGAAUGUAUUAUGAGAAUAAGGAUCGGCUAACUCCGUGCCAGCCGCCGC